rnacentral:rRNA from 1 species
UUUAUGGAGAGUUUGAUCCUGGCUCAGGAUGAACGCUGGCGGCGUGCCUAAUACAUGCAAGUCGAGCGAACGGACGAGAAGCUUGCUUCUCUGAUGUUAGCGGCGGACGGGUGAGUAACACGUGGAUAACCUACCUAUAAGACUGGGAUAACUUCGGGAAACCGGAGCUAAUACCGGAUAAUAUUUUGAACCGCAUGGUUCAAAAGUGAAAGACGGUCUUGCUGUCACUUAUAGAUGGAUCCGCGCUGCAUUAGCUAGUUGGUAAGGUAACGGCUUACCAAGGCAACGAUGCAUAGCCGACCUGAGAGGGUGAUCGGCCACACUGGAACUGAGACACGGUCCAGACUCCUACGGGAGGCAGCAGUAGGGAAUCUUCCGCAAUGGGCGAAAGCCUGACGGAGCAACGCCGCGUGAGUGAUGAAGGUCUUCGGAUCGUAAAACUCUGUUAUUAGGGAAGAACAUAUGUGUAAGUAACUGUGCACAUCUUGACGGUACCUAAUCAGAAAGCCACGGCUAACUACGUGCCAGCAGCCGCGGUAAUACGUAGGUGGCAAGCGUUAUCCGGAAUUAUUGGGCGUAAAGCGCGCGUAGGCGGUUUUUUAAGUCUGAUGUGAAAGCCCACGACUCAACCGUGGAGGGUCAUUGGAAACUGGAAAACUUGAGUGCAGAAGAGGAAAGUGGAAUUCCAUGUGUAGCGGUGAAAUGCGCAGAGAUAUGGAGGAACACCAGUGGCGAAGGCGACUUUCUGGUCUGUAACUGACGCUGAUGUGCGAAAGCGUGGGGAUCAAACAGGAUUAGAUACCCUGGUAGUCCACGCCGUAAACGAUGAGUGCUAAGUGUUAGGGGGUUUCCGCCCCUUAGUGCUGCAGCUAACGCAUUAAGCACUCCGCCUGGGGAGUACGACCGCAAGGUUGAAACUCAAAGGAAUUGACGGGGACCCGCACAAGCGGUGGAGCAUGUGGUUUAAUUCGAAGCAACGCGAAGAACCUUACCAAAUCUUGACAUCCUUUGACAACUCUAGAGAUAGAGCCUUCCCCUUCGGGGGACAAAGUGACAGGUGGUGCAUGGUUGUCGUCAGCUCGUGUCGUGAGAUGUUGGGUUAAGUCCCGCAACGAGCGCAACCCUUAAGCUUAGUUGCCAUCAUUAAGUUGGGCACUCUAAGUUGACUGCCGGUGACAAACCGGAGGAAGGUGGGGAUGACGUCAAAUCAUCAUGCCCCUUAUGAUUUGGGCUACACACGUGCUACAAUGGACAAUACAAAGGGCAGCGAAACCGCGAGGUCAAGCAAAUCCCAUAAAGUUGUUCUCAGUUCGGAUUGUAGUCUGCAACUCGACUACAUGAAGCUGGAAUCGCUAGUAAUCGUAGAUCAGCAUGCUACGGUGAAUACGUUCCCGGGUCUUGUACACACCGCCCGUCACACCACGAGAGUUUGUAACACCCGAAGCCGGUGGAGUAACCUUUUAGGAGCUAGCCGUCGAAGGUGGGACAAAUGAUUGGGGUGAAGUCGUAACAAGGUAGCCGUAUCGGAAGGUGCGGCUGGAUCACCUCCUUUCU